rnacentral:misc_RNA from 1 species
AACACUGUUAACCUGCGGUACCUGCGGAAGGAUCAUUACGAGAGUGUCACCACUCCCAACCCAUUGUUUACCUACCCGUCCACCGUGCUUCGGCAGGCAGCCCUGUGGGACAGAGCCUCGCCCCCUUUCGCGGGGGGUGCCUGCCGCUUGCCAACCAAAACUCUAGCUGUUUUAGUACCAUCUGAGUCUUCCACAAAUGAACAAAACUUUCAACAACGGAUCUCAGAUCGGAAGAGCACA